UCAAAACAGAACUUGUAAUUCUAUUGAUAUUCAUCAAUCAAGUUACAUUUAUUGAAAUGUGAUGCUCAAGCACUAAAGCAAAACCGAAGAAAUUUUUACCAAUCCCUAAAAAGCAAUAAGAAUUCCCACACAGGGGAAGGUGCAAUUGAACAUGCCCCUAGCAAACUACUUAGGAUCAUGAAUCAUGUGUGCUUGAGUUCUUCACCCUCCUUGAUCUUGUGAUGCAAAUCCUCUAGGUCAGAGAUUAUUCCUUAUAGAUAUAUCACUAGUCUCUUCAUAGUGGCAUCAAAUUCAGCUACCUCAGGAAAAUAGGACGGUUCGAAAGUCCUCUUGGUUCUCUUCUUUGAGUCAUAGUUUCCUACUGAAGAUAGAGUACCUAUAUCAUCACGGCCCUUUUGCUUGAUGAGAAAAGCCACAGUAGCAUACAAUUCAUCGACUUGACUUUGGAGGUACGAAAUUCGUUUGUUUAUAUUGACAAUGAUACGGUCUAGCACCUCAUUUUGAUCCGCUAUUUUAGCCAUCGGCCGUGUACGGAUGGGUGAGCGAGAUCGUUCCAUAUUCACCUAAUUCAAAUAAACGGGAACAUGUAAGCAUGAGGGUAAAUAGAAAGUCGAUCCAUGACAAUGAUCUAAUCAAUUUUUCCAUUUUUUUUCAUUUAUUCAUGAAAAGUUCUUCCAAGAAGGGCAUUUCCUAAAAAUGGACUAGGAAAAUAAAGAUAGACACCCUAACAAGACCAAAU
rnacentral:lncRNA from 1 species